UACGUAGGGAGCAAGCGUUGUUCGGAAUUACUGGGCGUAAAGAGUGUGUAGGCGGUGUCCUAAGUUCGGGGUGAAAUCUCCCGGCUUAACUGGGAGGGUGCGCCGGAAACUGGAGUGCUUGAGUGCGGGAGAGGAAAGCGGAAUUCCUGGUGUAGCGGUGAAAUGCGUAGAUAUCAGGAGGAACACCUGUGGUGUAGACGGCUUUCUGGACCGUAGCUGACGCUGAGACACGAAAGCGUGGGUAGCAAACAGG
rnacentral:rRNA from 1 species